rnacentral:rRNA from 1 species
GAUGAACGCUAGCGGCAGGCCUAACACAUGCAAGUCGAGGGGUAGAGUUAGCUUGCUAACUUGAGACCGGCGCACGGGUGCGUAACGCGUAUGCAAUCUACCUUAUACAGAGGGAUAGCCCAGAGAAAUUUGGAUUAAUACCUCAUAGUAUUAUCGAGUGGCAUCAUUUGAUAAUUAAAGUUCCAACGGUAUAAGAUGAGCAUGCGUCCCAUUAGUUAGUUGGUAAGGUAACGGCUUACCAAGACUAUGAUGGGUAGGGGUCCUGAGAGGGAGAUCCCCCACACUGGUACUGAGACACGGACCAGACUCCUACGGGAGGCAGCAGUGAGGAAUAUUGGACAAUGGGCGCAAGCCUGAUCCAGCCAUGCCGCGUGCAGGAAGACGGUCCUAUGGAUUGUAAACUGCUUUUAUACAGGAAGAAACAUCUCUACGUGUAGAGACUUGACGGUACUGUAAGAUAAGGACUCGGCUAACUCCGUGCCAG